GUACUUGGAUGGGUGACCGCCUGGGAAU
rnacentral:rRNA from 10 species